ACGCUCGACACCUACGGAAGGCAGCAGUUAGGAAUAUUGGGCAAUGGAGGAAACUCUGACCCAGCAACGCCGCGUGAAGGAAGAAGGUUUUCGGAUUGUAAACUUCUGAUCUAGGGGAAGAAGGAAGUGACGGUACCCUAGGAGAAAGCCACGGCUAACUACGUGCCAACAGCCGCGGUAAUCUGAGCGGGCUGGCAAGGC
rnacentral:rRNA from 1 species